GUUAGUUAUACCCUAAACAUGAAUGUCAGCUUUACCAAAAAUCUUUUGAAUAAUGAACUCGCAAGCAAAAUAAGAAGUUUUUUUUCGUCAAAAUACCUAUUAGGUAGAUGUCUCGCCAUGUUUGUCUCCGUCUUACAAACGUACAACAAAGCCACCUGUUUGCAUAAACCAAUAGCCCUCUCACAGUCACACAUGAUAUAAAUGCAGUAUAUUCGACCUUAGAUCCUUUGCGAGUGAAGAAUGGAAGGUGUUGUAUAAAACGAAGAGGUAUAUGAAGGAAGACAGCAAAAAUCGUAUGUGUAUAUUAUAUAUUUAUAUAAAUACACUCAUAUGAACACCACAAGGAAACGAUUAAGUACCUACCGUGUGAGACCAACAACUGACAAGGAUAAUCGUUGUUUUGUGUUAGCACUCGGCAGUUUCGAUCCAUAGCGAGAUUUAACAAUUAAGUGCAAUAUUUAUUGAUGGAGUAACACAUUUUCGCUGCAUAGAAUCAUUACUUGGCUCAUUUUCAUCAAGCGUAUCACGAAUAUAUUAAUCGUUAAUCCAUUGAUGACAAUUUUACACAAUAUUAUGAUAUAUUUUCGUGUUUUAUCUUAUGAGUGACACUUAUACAAUUUAUAUUUGCAUAAAUCAAU